UUUCCACAGCUUUCUUGAACUUCUUCUUCUUCUUCUCUCUUGGAACGGCAGCUUUCUUCGAAUCUGUCUCUCUCUCUCUCAUCUCCGAAGACGAAGGUCAAGAAAGCUGUGGGAAGA